rnacentral:rRNA from 1 species
UACGAAGGGUGCAAACGUUGCUCGGAAUUAUUGGGCGUAAAGCGCACGUAGGCGGCUUAGAAAGUCGGAGGUGAAAUCCCUCGGCUCAACCAAGGAAGUGCAUCCGAAACUGCUGAGCUUGAGUACGAAAGAGGAUCGCGGAAUUCCCGGUGUAGAGGUGAAAUUCGUAGAUAUCGGGAGGAACACCAGUGGCGAAGGCGGCGAUCUGGGUCGAUACUGACGCUGAGGUGCGAAAGCGUGGGGAGCAAACAGG